rnacentral:rRNA from 1 species
UGGGGAAUAUUGCACAAUGGGCGAAAGCCUGAUGCAGCAACGCCGCGUGAGUGAUGAAGGCCUUCGGGUUGUAAAGCUCUGUCUUCUGGGACGAUAAUGACGGUACCAGAGGAGGAAGCCACGGCUAACUACGUGCCAGCAGCCGCGGUAAUACGUAGGUGGCAAGCGUUGUCCGGAUUUACUGGGCGUAAAGGAUGCGUAGGCGGAUACUUAAGUCAGAUGUGAAAAUCCCGGGCUUAACUUGGGAACUGCAUUUGAAGCUGGGUAUCUAGAGUGCGGGAGAGGAAAGUGGAAUUCCUAGUGUAGCGGUGAAAUGCGUAGAGAUUAGGAAGAACACCAGUGGCGAAGGCGACUUUCUGGACCGUAACUGACGCUGAGGCAUGAAAGCGUGGGGAGCAAACA